AGUGAACGCUGGCGGCGUGGUUUAGGCAUGCAAGUCGAGCGCGAAAGCACCCUUCGGGGUGCCGGUAGAGCGGCGAAAGGGUGAGUAAUGCAUAGGCAACGUACCCCCGGGACCGGAAUAGCUGCUGGAAACGGCAGGUAAUGCCGGAUGGCCAGCACGGAUGGCAUCGUCCGUGUUGUAAACGGUUGGGCAACCUUCUGCCAGGGGAGCGGCCUAUGUCCUAUUAGCUUGUUGGUGAGGUAACGGCUCACCAAGGCGACGAUGGGUAGCCGGACUGAGAGGUUGGCCGGUCACACUGGGACUGAGACACUGCCCAGACUCCUACGGGAGGCUGCAGUCGAGAAUCUUCCGCAAUGGACGCAAGUCUGACGGGGCGACGCCGCGUGAGGGAUGAAGGCCUUCGGGUUGUAAACCUCUGUUGCACGCUAGGAAACCUUGGGGGUUAAUAGCCUUCCAAGCUGACCAUCGUGUGAGGAAGCACAGGCUAACUCCGUGCCAGCAACCGCGGUAAUACGGAGUGUGCAAGCGUUACUCGGAAUCACUGGGCAUAAAGCGCACGUAGGCGGGUCGUCAAGUCGGUAGUGAAAGCCCCCAGCUCAACUGGGGAACUGCUACCGAAACUG
rnacentral:rRNA from 1 species